rnacentral:rRNA from 1 species
CCUACGGGAGGCAGCAGUGGGGAAUAUUGGGCAAUGGAGGAAACUCUGACCCAGCAACGCCGCGUGAAUGAUGAAGGUCUUCGGAUUGUAAAGUUCUUUUCUAAGGGAAGAAGAAAGUGACGGUACCUUAGGAAUAAGCCUCGGCUAACUACGUGCCAGCAGCCGCGGUAAUACGUAGGAGGCAAGCGUUAUCCGGAAUGACUGGGCGUAAAGGGUGCGUAGGUGGUUCAGCAAGUUAGUAGCGUAAUUCCGGAGCUCAACUUCGGCACUACUACUAAAACUGUUGGACUUGAGUGCAGGAGGGGCAACUGGAAUUUCUAGUGUAGCGGUGGAAUGCGUAGAUAUUAGGAAGAACACCGGUGGCGAAGGCGAGUUGCUGGACGAUGACUGACGUUGAGGCUCGAAAGCGUGGGGAGCAAACAGGAUUAGAUACCCCGGUAGUC